GAUGAAGAACGCAGCGAAAUGCGAUAAGUAAUGUGAAUUGCAGAAUUCAGUGAAUCAUCGAGUCUUUGAACGCACAUUGCGCCCUGUGGUAUUCCGCAGGGCAUGCCUGUUCGAGCGUCAUUUCAUCCCUCAAGCCUCGCUUGGUGUUGGGCCCUGCCCGCCGCGGCCGGCCCUAAAGAUAGUGGCGGCGCCGCCUGGCCCUCAGCGUAGUACAGCUCUCGCUCCAGGGUCCGGCGGCAGCCUGCCAGAACCCCCCAACUCUGUGGUUGACCUCGGAUCAGGUAGGGAUACCCGCUGAACUUAAGCAUAUCAAUAAGCGGAGGA
rnacentral:misc_RNA from 1 species